rnacentral:rRNA from 1 species
GACGAACGCUGGCGGCGUGCUUAACACAUGCAAGUCGAACGGAAAGGCCCUGCUUUUGUGGGGUGCUCGAUUGGCGAACGGGUGAGUAACACGUGAGUAACCUGCCCUUGACUUUGGGAUAACUUCAGGAAACUGGGGCUAAUAUCGGAUAGGAGCUCCUGCAGCAUGGUGGGGGUUGGAAAGUUUCGGCGGUUGGGGAUGGACUCGCGGCUUAUCAGCUUGUUGGUGGGGUAGUGGCUUACCAAGGCUUUGACGGGUAGCCGGCCUGAGAGGGUGACCGGCGACAAUGGGACUGAGAGACGGCCCAGACGCCUACGGGAGGCAGCAGUGGGGAAUAUUGCACAAUGGGCGGGAGCGUGAUGCAGCAACGCCGCGUGCGGGAUGACGGCCUUCGGGUUGUGAACCGCUUUCGCCUGUGACGAAGCGUGAGUGACGGUAAUGAGUAAAGAAGCACCGGCUAACUACGUG